rnacentral:hammerhead_ribozyme from 1 species
GCGCUGCUGAAGAGUCCCAUACUAGGACGAAACGGUCGUCCAGUGC